rnacentral:rRNA from 1 species
ACGAACGCUGGCGGCAGGCCUAACACAUGCAAGUCGAACGCCGUUAGCAAUACGGAGUGGCAGACGGGUGCGUAACACGUGGGAACAUACCCUUUGGUUCGGAAUAACUCAGGGAAACUUGAGCUAAUACCGGAUAAGCCCUUACGGGGAAAGAUUUAUCGCCAAAGGAUUGGCCCGUGUCUGAUUAGCUAGUUGGUGAGGUAACGGCUCACCAAGGCGACGAUCAGUAGCUGGUCUGAGAGGAUGAUCAGCCACACUGGGACUGAGACACGGCCCAGACUCCUACGGGAGGCAGCAGUGGGGAAUAUUGGACAAUGGGCGCAAGCCUGAUCCAGCCAUGCCGCGUGAGUGAUGAAGGCCUUAGGGUUGUUAAAGCUCUUUUACCCGGGAAGAAUAAUGACGGUACCGGGAGAAUAAGCCCCGGCUAAC